AAGUCGUAACAAGGUUUCCGUAGGUGAACCUGCGGAAGGAUCAUUAACACGUAUCCAACGUUAAAACAACCGUGAACUUUCAGCUUGCUCCUGUAGCCCGUGAAAACAGCAAUCCCUGGUAAAUCAUUGUUGUGAUAUUUUAUAGCUACGGUUGAGCGAUUGCAUCUAGUGAUGUUCGGUUUUUGGUGCCGUGCGAAUUUCACGCGCGGCCAAUUCGUACUGUGUUGUCGUAAAGGGGCAGAGCCCGGUGACCCGGUCGCCGGCCGUGGGCCUACAGCGAUCGUGACUGCGCCAUCAUCCUUACAUAAUCAAUGACACUUUCAGACACUGAUUACUUGGGUAUGCCAGGUCAAUGGAUAUCUUGGUUCUC
rnacentral:misc_RNA from 1 species